rnacentral:rRNA from 3 species
GCGACCCCAGGAUGGGCGAGGCCACCCGCCGAGUUUAAGCAUAUCAAUAAGCGGAGGAGAA